rnacentral:rRNA from 1 species
AGAGUUUGAUCCUGGCUCAGGAUGAACUUUGGCGGCAUGCCUAAUACAUGCAAGUCGAACGAGAGGAAGGAAAGCUUGCUUUUCUGAAUCUAGUGGCGAACGGGUGAGUAACACGUAGGUAACCUGCCCAUGUGCCCGGGAUAACUUCUGGAAACGGAUGCUAAAACCGGAUAGGUAGCAGACAAGCAUUUGACUGCUAUUAAAGUGGCUAAGGCCAUGAACAUGGAUGGACCUGCGGUGCAUUAGCUAGUUGGUGAGGUAACGGCCCACCAAGGCGACGAUGCAUAGCCGGCCUGAGAGGGCGGACGGCCACAUUGGGACUGAGACACGGCCCAAACUCCUACGGGAGGCAGCAGUAGGGAAUUUUCGUCAAUGGGGGGAACCCUGAACGAGCAAUGCCGCGUGAGUGAGGAAGGUCUUCGGAUCGUAAAGCUCUGUUGUAAGAGAAAAACGACAUUCAUAGGGAAUGAUGAGUGAGUGAUGGUAUCUUACCAGAAAGUCACGGCUAACUACGUGCCAGCAGCCGCGGUAAUACGUAGGUGGCGAGCGUUAUCCGGAAUGAUUGGGCGUAAAGGGUGCGUAGGUGGCAGAACAAGUCUGGAGUAAAAGGUAUGGGCUCAACCCGUACUGGCUCUGGAAACUGUUCAGCUAGAGAACAGAAGAGGACGGCGGAACUCCAUGUGUAGCGGUAAAAUGCGUAGAUAUAUGGAAGAACACCGGUGGCGAAGGCGGCCGUCUGGUCUGUUGCUGACACUGAAGCACGAAAGCGUGGGGAGCAAAUAGGAUUAGAUACCCUAGUAGUCCACGCCGUAAACGAUGAG